CACCAUGCCCUCUGCUGGUGCACUGGGAAAUCACAAAGCCUUCUGGGUAGUGAGCCGUCAUUUCCUACAGGAUCCUGCAUAACCUGGGAUUCCAGGAUGGGUGGCAGAGCUCCCCUGCUUCUGUCCCCUCUGUUUCCCCACUGUUUCUCCUCGGCCCCCUCCUGGUGCUGCGCGCUCCUCGCUGCUCACCGCAGCUCCCCUCUGCUCACACUCGCGGGACAUCCACCUGGUGCCCGGCACUGCCCUGGAGCCCGGGAGGACGGUGCUGAGGAGGGAGCAGCCCGGUGCUGGGAGAGAAGCGCAAACGGGAGAGGAACGCAGAGGUUGUAGAAGGUGAUACAGAAGGACAGAAGUAGCCACAGAAUGUGUGGUACAGACACGCAGCUAGGAUGGGCCAUGAGGUCCACGGAGAAGGACGCGU
rnacentral:lncRNA from 1 species